CACUAACUGGAGGACCGAACCGACUAAUGUUGAAAAAUUAGCGGAUGACUUGUGGCUGGGGGUGAAAGGCCAAUCAAACCGGGAGAUAGCUGGUUCUCCCCGAAAGCUAUUUAGGUAGCGCCUCGUGAAUUCAUCUCCGGGGGUAGAGCACUGUUUCGGCAAGGGGGUCAUCCCGACUUACCAACCCGAUGCAAACUGCGAAUACCGGAGAAUGUUAUCACGGGAGACACACGGCGGGUGCUAACGUCCGUCGUGAAGAGGGAAACAACCCAGACCGCCAGCUAAGGUCCCAAAGUCAUGGUUAAGUGGGAAACGAUGUGGGAAGGCCCAGACAGCCAGGAUGUUGGCUUAGAAGCAGCCAUCAUUUAAAGAAAGCGUAAUAGCUCACUGGUCGAGUCGGCCUGCGCGGAAGAUGUAACGGGGCUAAACCAUG
rnacentral:rRNA from 2 species